rnacentral:rRNA from 1 species
AUUGAACGCUGGCGGCAUGCUUUACACAUGCAAGUCGAACGGUAACAGGGAGCUUGCUCCGCUGACGAGUGGCGAACGGGUGAGUAAUGCGUCGGAACGUGCCGAGUAGUGGGGGAUAACGCAUCGAAAGGUGUGCUAAUACCGCAUACGUACUGAGGUAGAAAGUGGGGGACCUUCGGGCCUCACGCUAUUCGAGCGGCCGACGUCUGAUUAGCUAGUUGGUGAGGUAAAGGCUCACCAAGGCGACGAUCAGUAGCGGGUCUGAGAGGAUGAGCCGCCACACUGGGACUGAGACACGGCCCAGACUCCUACGGGAGGAAGCGGUGGGGAAUUUUGGACAAUGGGCGCAAGCCUGAUCCAGCCAUGCCGCGUGUCUGAAGAAGGCCUUCGGGUUGUAAAGGACUUUUGUCCGGGAGCAAAUGCUGGUGGCUAACAUCCACCGGAGCUGAGAGUACCGGAAGAAUAAGCACCGGCUAACUACGUGCCAGCCGCCGCCGUAAUAC